rnacentral:rRNA from 1 species
UGCGUAGGCGGCGCGGUAAGUCGGGUGUGAAAUCUUGGAGCUUAACUCCGAAACUGCAUUCGAUACUGCCGUGCUUGAGGACUGGAGAGGAGACUGGAAUUUACGGUGUAGCGGUGAAAUGCGUAGAUAUCGUAAGGAAGACCAGUGGCGAAGGCGGGUCUCUGGACAGUUCCUGACGCUGAGGCACGAAGGUCAGGGGAGCAAACG